rnacentral:rRNA from 1 species
UCAGUACGGGAGGCAGCAGUGAGGAAUAUUGGUCAAUGGGCGAGAGCCUGAACCAGCCAAGUAGCGUGCAGGAUGACGGCCCUAUGGGUUGUAAACUGCUUUUAGUUGGGAAUAAAAAAGGGACUUGUCCCUUCUUGUAUGUACCUUCAGAAAAAGGACCGGCUAAUUCCGUGCCAGCAGCCGCGGUAAUCUGA